rnacentral:rRNA from 1 species
UACGGGGGGGGCAAGCGUUGUUCGGAAUUACUGGGCGUAAAGGGCUCGUAGGCGGCCAACUAAGUCCGACGUGAAAUCCCAAGGCUUAACCUUGGAACUGCGUCGGAUACUGGAUGGCUUGAAUUCGGGAGAGGGAUGCAGAAUUCCAGGUGUAGCGGUGAAAUGCGUAGAUAUCUGGAGGAAUACCGGUGGCGAAGGCGGCAUCCUGGACCGACAUUGACGCUGAGGAGCGAAAGCUAGGGGAGCAAAUGGG